rnacentral:sRNA from 1 species
UUUCUUUUUCGUGUUACAUUGAGGGCUCCUUGUCAAGAAUCAAUCGAGGUUGUGAAAAGAAGAUUCUUAUUGAUUACGGCAAGAGGCAAUGCCUUUAUAUACACGAUAAGUUUAGACCUAGUUAAUCUAUACAAUAUAAAUGGGCUAAGGCCACACAGCCCAACACCCCUCCUCAAGCUGGUAUAUGGAGAUUGCAGAUACCAAGCUUGGCAAGAAAGUCUGCAAACUCUUUUCGUCCUAAGGCUUUAGUGAGAAUGUCCGCUAGCUGAGAAGUGGUUGAGACGUGCUUAGUAGCGAUAGUGCCAUUGACGAGCUCAUCGCGAAUGAAAUGGACGUCUCGACGCACAUGUUUAGUGCGAGCAUGAUAGACAGGAUUAGCAGCAAGACUUAUGGCUGAUAAACUAUCUGAAUGGAGUGUGGUAGGAGCAGUACACGGAAUACCGAGAGCGGGAAGUAAUUCACGGAUCCAUAUGAUUUCACUCACUGUUUCUGCCAUAGCCCUGUAUUCAGCUUCGGCAGAAGAGCGGGAAACAACAUUUUGUUUCUGUGUCUUCCAAGAUAAAGGAGAGCCACCCAACUGAAUAAACCAACCGGUGAGAGAUCGAUCUGAAUGAGGACAUGCUCCAAAGUCUGAAUCGCACCAGGCAGAGAGAACCAAAGGUGUAUUAGCACGUAGGAGAAUACCUUGACCAGGACUAGACUUUAGAUAUCUGACGACGCGAAGAGCAGCUUCCCAAUGAGCCGGUUUAGGAUUAUGCAUGAACUGUGAGAGAAUAUGAAUAACAUAUGAUAAUUCAGGCCUCGUAGUCGCAAGAUAAAUAAUGCGCCCAACUAGACGACGGUAUCGAAGUGGGUCAUCUAUUGUUUCACCAGUGGCAAAAGCAAGCUUAUGAUUUUGGUCCAAUGGAAAAGAAGCCGGUUUAACACCAAGGAGACCCGUUUCUGUGAUAAUGUCAAGUGCGUACUUUCGUUGGCAUAAGUAGAUACCUUCAGGACUCCGAGCAACCUCAAUUCCCAAGAAGUACCGCAAAAUUCCAAGAUCCUUCAUAUAGAAACAAGAGCUUAAGUAAUGUUUAAACUCUGUAAUCACAGCAAUAGUAGUACCCGUGAUGAUCAAAUCGUCCACGUAUACUAAAACAUGAAGUCGAACUCCGUUUUUGUGAAAGAUAAACAAAGAGUAAUCUGAAAUAUCUUGAAUAAAACCGUAGUUCUUCAAUGCCGAUGUGAGCUUUGCGAACCAACAACGAGGAGCUUGUUUGAGACCAUACAAAGAUUUGCGUAAACGACAUACUUUUGUCUUGUCACCAGUACGAAAUCCCGGAGGAAAUUGCAUGUAUACCUCUUCGUCAAGAUCACCAUGGAGAAACGCGUUGUGAACAUCCAUUUGAUGAACCUCCCAGUCAAGUGAAACAACUUGCUGAAGAAAAGCGCGGACUGUGACCAUUUUCGCAACCGGAGCAAAAGUUUCUGUGUAAUCAAGACCUUCGGUUUGAUUGUUACCAAGAACAACCAAACGUGCUUUGUGUCGUUCAAGUGUGCCGUCAGAUUUGUAUUUUAGACGAAACACCCAUUUACAACCAAGAGCUUUCUUCCCUGGAGGCAAGUCUUCGACUGUCCAAGUACCAAGAUUUUCAAGCGAACCAAU